GUGCACUUGUGGCAUGGAUCGGUGGGAAAGCGGGGGGGGCAAGGGUUAGUCGGAUUUAUUUGGGUUAAAUGGUCCGUAGGCGGACUUGUAAGUCAGUGGUGAAAUCUCAUAGCUUAACAAUGAAGCUGCCAUUUAUACUGCAGGUCUUGAGUAAAUUUGAAGUGGCUGGAAUAAGUAGGGUAGCGGUGAAAUGCAUAGAUAUUACGUAGAACACCAAGUGCGAAGGCAGGUCACUAAGAUUUAACUGACGCUGAUGGACGAAAGCGUGGGUAGCGAACAGGAUUAGAUACCCCGGUAGUC
rnacentral:rRNA from 1 species